UACGUAGGGUGCAAGCGUUGUCCGGAAUUAUUGGGCGUAAAGAGCUCGUAGGCGGUUUGUCGCGUCUGCUGUGAAAACUCGGGGCUUAACCCCGGGCCUGCAGUGGGUACGGGCAGACUAGAGUGCGGUAGGGGAGACUGGAAUUCCUGGUGUAGCGGUGAAAUGCGCAGAUAUCAGGAGGAACACCGGUGGCGAAGGCGGGUCUCUGGGCCUGUACUGACGCUGAGGAACGAAAGCGUGGGGAGCGAACAGG
rnacentral:rRNA from 1 species